rnacentral:rRNA from 1 species
CGCCUGUUUAUUAAAAACAUGGUUUUUAUUAUUUAUUAAAAAUUGAACCUGCCCAUUGAUUUAUUAAUUUAAAGGCCGCAGUAUUUUGACUGUGCUAAGGUAGCAUAAUCAUUAGUUUUUUAAUUGAAAUCUAGCAUGAAUGGUUUAAUGAAAUAAAUUCUUUUUUAAUUUAAAAUUAAUAAUUUUAUUUUUUAGUAAAAAAGCUAAAAUUUUUAAGAGGGACGAGAAGACCCUAUAGAAUUUUAUAAUAAAUUUAUAAUUUUAAAUUUUUAAAUUUUAUUUUUAUUAAUAAAUUAUUUUAUUGGGGUGAUAGUUAAAUUUAUUUAACUUUUUGUUAUUUAAUCAUUAAUAAUUGUUUAUAAAUUGAUCCUUUUUUAGAGAUUAAAAGAAUAAAUUACCUUAGGGAUAACAGCAUAAUUUUAUUAAAAAGCUCUUAUUUUUAAUAAGGUUUAUGACCUCGAUGUUGGAUUAAAUAAAUUUUUAUAUUAGAUAUAU